rnacentral:misc_RNA from 1 species
GACCAGAAUUCCAUCUAAUUAAACCUCACCUUCAUUCCUUCCACAACAACUAAACUUACCAUGCAUAUAUUUCGUCUUACUUCUAUUUAGCCUAAAACCCUUACUCUCAAGGGUCAAGAGUCCUCCACAAGUCCAGCUUUUGGUUAACUCCUUCGCUAGUUUCAUCCACUAAAACAUGAUCUACAAAAAACAUACACCAUGAGACAUUAUCUUGAAUAUGACUAGU